rnacentral:rRNA from 1 species
GAUGAACGCUGGCGGCGUGCCUAAUACAUGCAAGUCGAGCGAACAGACGAGGAGCUUGCUCCUCUGACGUUAGCGGCGGACGGGUGAGUAACACGUGGAUAACCUACCUAUAAGACUGGGAUAACUUCGGGAAACCGGAGCUAAUACCGGAUAAUAUAUUGAACCGCAUGGUUCAAUAGUGAAAGACGGUUUUGCUGUCACUUAUAGAUGGAUCCGCGCCGCAUUAGCUAGUUGGUAAGGUAACGGCUUACCAAGGCAACGAUGCGUAGCCGACCUGAGAGGGUGAUCGGCCACACUGGAACUGAGACACGGUCCAGACUCCUAAGGUAGGACGCAGUAGGGAAUCUUCCGCGAUGGGCGAAAGCGUGACGGAGCAACGCCGCGUGAGUGAUGAAGGUCCUCGGAUCGUAAAACUCUGUUAUUAGGGAAGAACAAAUGUGUAAGUAACUGUGCACGUCUUGACGGUACCUAAUCAGAAAGCCACGGCUAACUACGUG